rnacentral:rRNA from 1 species
AUGCACGCUGGCGGCGUGCCUCAUACCUGCAAGUCGCGCGCACAGACGAGGAGCUUGCUCCUCUGACGUUAGCGGCGGACGGGUGAGUAACACGUGGAUAACCUACCUAUAAGACUGGGAUAACUUCGGGAAACCGGAGCUAAUACCGGAUAAUAUAUUGAACCGCAUGGUUCAAUAGUGAAAGACGGUUUUGCUGUCACUUAUAGAUGGAUCCGCGCCGCAUUAGCUAGUUGGUAAGGUAACGGCUUACCAAGGCAAAGAUGCGUAGCCGACCUGAGAGGGUGAUCGGCCACACUGGAACUGAGACACGGUCCAGACUCCUACGGGAGGCAGCAGUAGGGAAUCUUCCGCAAUGGGCGAAAGCUUGACGGAGCAACGCCGCGUGAGUGAUGAAGGUCUUCGGAUCGUAAAACUCUGUUAUUAGGGAAGAACAAAUGUGUAAGUAACUAUGCACGUCUUGACGGUACCUAAUCAGAAAGCCACGGCUAACUACGUG